GAUGAACGCUAGCUACAGGCUUAACACAUGCAAGUCGAGGGGCAGCAUGACCUAGCAAUAGGUUGAUGGCGACCGGCGCACGGGUGAGUAACACGUAUCCAACCUACCGGUUAUUCCGGGAUAGCCUUUCGAAAGAAAGAUUAAUACCGGAUAGUAUAACGAGAAGGCAUCUUCUUGUUAUUAAAGAAUUUCGAUAACCGAUGGGGAUGCGUUCCAUUAGUUUGUUGGCGGGGUAACGGCCCACCAAGACAUCGAUGGAUAGGGGUUCUGAGAGGAAGGUCCCCCACAUUGGAACUGAGACACGGUCCAAACUCCUACGGGAGGCAGCAGUGAGGAAUAUUGGUCAAUGGACGAGAGUCUGAACCAGCCAAGUAGCGUGAAGGAUGACUGCCCUAUGGGUUGUAAACUUCUUUUAUAUGGGAAUAAAGUGAGCCACGUGUGGCUUUUUGUAUGUACCAUACGAAUAAGGAUCGGCUAA
rnacentral:rRNA from 1 species